rnacentral:rRNA from 1 species
UACGUAGGGUGCAAGCGUUGUCCGGAAUUAUUGGGCGUAAAGAGCUCGUAGGCGGUCUGUUGCGUCGGAUGUGAAAAACUCGGGGGCUCAACCCCCGGGCCUGCAUUCGAUACGGGCAGACUAGAGUACGGCAGGGGAGACUGGAAUUCCUGGUGUAGCGGUGAAAUGCGCAGAUAUCAGGAGGAACACCGAUGGCGAAGGCAGGUCUCUGGGCAUUAACUGACGCUGAGGAGCGAAAGCAUGGGGAGCGAACAGG